CGGGGGGGGGGUGGCUAAUACAUGCAAGUCGAGCGAACUGAUUAGAAGCUUGCUUCUAUGACGUUAGCGGCGGACGGGUGAGUAACACGUGGGCAACCUGCCUGUAAGACUGGGAUAACUUCGGGAAACCGAAGCUAAUACCGGAUAGGAUCUUCUCCUUCAUGGGAGAUGAUUGAAAGAUGGUUUCGGCUAUCACUUACAGAUGGGCCCGCGGUGCAUUAGCUAGUUGGUGAGGUAACGGCUCACCAAGGCAACGAUGCAUAGCCGACCUGAGAGGGUGAUCGGCCACACUGGGACUGAGACACGGCCCAGACUCCUACGGGAGGCAGCAGUAGGGAAUCUUCCGCAAUGGACGAAAGUCUGACGGAGCAACGCCGCGUGAGUGAUGAAGGCUUUCGGGUCGUAAAACUCUGUUGUUAGGGAAGAACAAGUACAAGAGUAACUGCUUGUACCUUGACGGUACCUAACCAGAAAGCCACGGCUAACUACGUGCCAGCAGCCGCGGUAAUACGUAGGUGGCAAGCGUUAUCCGGAAUUAUUGGGCGUAAAGCGCGCGCAGGCGGUUUCUUAAGUCUGAUGUGAAAGCCCACGGCUCAACCGUGGAGGGUCAUUGGAAACUGGGGAACUUGAGUGCAGAAGAGAAAAGCGGAAUUCCACGUGUAGCGGUGAAAUGCGUAGAGAUGUGGAGGAACACCAGUGGCGAAGGCGGCUUUUUGGUCUGUAACUGACGCUGAGGCGCGAAAGCGUGGGGAGCAAACAGGAUUAGAUACCCUGGUAGUCCACGCCGUAAACGAUGAGUGCUAAGUGUUAGAGGGUUUCCGCCCUUUAGUGCUGCAGCUAACGCAUUAAGCACUCCGCCUGGGGAGUACGGUCGCAAGACUGAAACUCAAAGGAAAUUGACGGGGGCCCGCACAAGCGGGUGGAGCAUGUGGUUUUAAUUUCGAAAGCAACGCGAAGAAACCUUACCAGGUCUUGACAUCCCUCUGACACUCUAGAGAUAGAGCGUUCCCCUUCGGGACAGAGUGACAGGUUGCUGCAUGCUGUCGUCAGCUCGUGUCCGUGGAGAUGUUUAGUUAAGGUCCCCG
rnacentral:rRNA from 1 species